AAAACUGAAAAAAAAAAAAAAAAAAAAUCCUUGUGAUAAUUUUGUAGACAAAUAAAUUAAAAAGAAAAGGAAGAAAAGAGAGGAAAAUGAAUAAACAUGACGGGUUUGCUCUGUGAUGAGUCUUUCUCUCCCACACCACAAUUAAUCAGAGGGUUGGUUCUCUUCUCGAUCCUUGAUUCUAUUGCUGGAAUCCCUUUUAUAUACGCUGAAAGGAAGGAAGGAGGGGGUUCCAUAAUUCCAGUCUAGGGUUUUCCAGUGUUAUGUAUUUGCGACUGAGGUCUUAUCUGACAUUUGAUAUUUGACUGGUAUGUAUGGUUGCUAGAUUUGAACUUGUCUCUCUGGUUUGCUUGUUUUGGAUUGCCUUUUUCCACCAACAUGCUGUAGGAAUUUGAGAAUUGAGGGCUGUUUCUAAUUUCGCUGCCUGUUGCCUGUUGAAGACGGGGACUUUGCUUUUCGAUUCGUUUGCAUAACUCCGAGCGGAGCAGUCAUCCAAGGCGGAGGAGAAACAAAAAAAAGAUAAAGGCAAUUUUGUAACCCGUUCGUCAUUAAUCCUUUGGUUUUGUUGGAACAGGAAUCCCACUGGCGAGCAAUCGGUUUCUUCCGCGAUUUGUAGUUACUACUUUAAGCUGUUUGAUGGUGCUGUUUGGGCGAUAUAUGUGAUUAUCUUAUCUGGUUGGAGAUUUUUUCCCCCCUUUAAUCUUAUUUUUUGAAUUACGGAAAUUAGGGGAGAAGGCGGGGAUAGCAUAGUCUAUAUAAAAGGCGAGGAUGGAAAAGGGGAUGGCACCUCUUGAGGGUAAUGAUGGUUGGAUUGUGGUGAAUGAGACUAAUUCCGAAGACCCCAUAUAUAUCGACAUGGAAACUGAGUAUGUGAUUGAUAGUCCGAAGAAUGGCAUUCAAGGUUUUGCAUCAGACAAAGGAGAGGGAAGUAAUGUGGUAUCCUCUAGAGAAGGACCUCUUGUCAGGAAGGAGUCGAGAAUGCCCACUAGUUGUAGUUGCAGUGCCAAGAAACUCAAAUCUCAGGUGGAUGCGGCAGACUCCAACCCAGAGAGGAAGGAUAAAGUUGGGCAAGAGAAGAAGCUCAGUAGACAAGAUAGGAUUGAAUUGGGCCGCAUGUUUCAGGGUGCAGUGAGUUCCCAUGAUUGGGAAGUUGCUGAGAGUUUGAUCCUGGUGGCUGAUCCACAAACCCUGAAUGAUGCUUUGUGCAUGACUUUGGAUUCAAUAUGGUUCUUGAGCACUCACGAAGAGCUUUAUGGGAUAACGGGAUUAAUUAAGAAGAUCAUUGUCAAUGGUGCAUAUGACUUCACGAGAGCUGCCUUGCGCACUUCAUUUCUUGCUUCGUGUGUUUCUGCUUGUCAGAGCCGAACAAUGAGUCUUGCUGAUACAGUCACAGUAAUGGCCCAAAGGUUGCAUGAGCGCCUCCACGAAUGCAAUGGAGAUGAGGUCUUGAAGGCAGAAGCUGCUGCUAAGGUUCAAAAGUUUACUGAAUGGGCUCUGAAAUGUAUAGGCUUUCAUUCUCGUUCCCAAGGUAAUAAGGAUAGAGUUAACAACAGCUCAUUGGUUGAGAUCCAACUCCAGUUAUCAGCAUUUAAGGCGUUCAUAGAUCUUGCUGGUAACCAGCUUUCUGGGAAGGACUUCACUGAGGCCUUUGAUGCUGCUUGCUUCCCCCUAACUCUCUUCUCUAGUUCAUUCGAUUCUGGCUGGGCAUCUGGGAUAUCGGCAACUGCAAUUCAAGGUUUGCUGGGUAUGUUGGUGGAGGGAGGUGCAGACAAUGUCAAUCAGUGUUUCCUUGAAGCCUCUCGUUUUGGGAGUACUGAGCUUGUGCGCAUCUUAUUGCAGAUUGCCCAAAGGAACAGUUUGGAUGUUGAUGUUGACCUGGCUUUGGGUUUUGCUUCUCACUACUGCAAGAUUGGUACUAUGGAAUGUCUUGUGGAAGAAGGCAAUGCGAUAGCUUUUUUGGGCCCUCUGAUGAGAGCUGCUGAGAGGGGCUGUAUGCAGGUUGUUGAGUGGUUUGUGAAAAGGGGUUGCCGAGACAUGGAGCUCUGCCUUGCUCUCACAGCUGCAACUUCCAGCAGCCAAGUUGAUAUUGCUGCCUAUCUCCUCCCUCAUGUUCCUCAUCAUGUCCUUGCUGCACUAAGCAUUGAAAUUCUGAAGGCUGCUGGUGAACGAAGUGGUGGUUCUCUUGAUGGUGUUGCAUUUCUUCUUCAUUCCAACUUCAUGGGUGAUCCUGCAGCUACUUAUGCUGUUGCCAACAGUAUUGCUCUGUCUGAUGAUGAGGGUAUAGCUCCUGAGUUAAGGGCUUUUCUUCGGGGGCACUGGUCAGAGGAAGCUUUCUUGGAUGGAAUUAAACAAGGACAAGAACAUUACAUGAACAUUGUGAGGAUUUUAAAAUGGGGUGAAUCUCCUAUCUGCUUAAGAGAUCUUCCAACCCCUCUAGGGAUAGCAAUCGGUUACCUGCCACUGUAUAGGGAGUGUGUGAGGGCGGGUGGCUGUUUGUUGUCACAAAGGCUGAGAGGACAGCUUGUUGAAGCAGUUAGAAGGCUUGGCGGUGGAGUCUUAGAAGGGGCGAGCCAGUGCAAAGAGCUAUUGGCUCUUCUGGAGCAUCAUCUCCCUCCAUUUUUUACUUGAUCUGCCUAGCUCAGUGCAGCAAGGUGUUGCUCGUAUAUGUUCUGGGACUUAGCUUCCAUUUGUCCUCGGCUAUCUGAUAAAUUUGUAAUGGAUGAUAACAACAGUUUAGAGAUGGGGUCAGGUGACAAAGCCAAGAAAAGUAAUUUGUCAAAGACGGCUCCGAGUUCAAAUGGAAUGGAAUGCCGCUGCACCUUGACGACCGGCCUGGAUGAAGUGGUACUUAUGGCAUCAGCAGCCGCAGCCCCUUUUUUUCUUUGCCACCUUUCUUUCGUGUGCAUGUAGGAGCCAGCCAGCGGGCCACCGACCAAAACAUGGAAUUGAAUAGAAUUGGGAGUCUUAUAUUUCGUUUGCCUUUAUUAUUUAAUGAAAUUAAUUCCAACCCAACUGAAAAGUAACCAUGUGAUAUUCCACAUGGGGUAUUUUAUUUGACCGCGAGUCGGCAGUGGAAUUAUUCCUGAAACAAAUAAGGACCUUUGUUGUAUUCUACACUUGAUUUAUUGGCAUAUUUUCGAGACGGAA